rnacentral:rRNA from 1 species
UACGUAGGGUGCAAGCGUUAAUCGGAAUUACUGGGCGUAAAGCGUGCGCAGGCGGUUUUGUAAGUUUGUCGUGAAAUCCCCGGGCUCAACCUGGGAAUGGCGAUGAAGACUGCAAGGCUAGAAUCUGGCAGAGGGGGGUAGAAUUCCACGUGUAGCAGUGAAAAUGCGUAGAGAGUGGUGGAAGGAACACCGGUGGCGAAGGCGGCAUCCUGGACCAAC